GAUCCUGGCUCAGGAUGAACGCUAGCGGGAGGCCUAACACAUGCAAGCCGAGCGGUAUUGUUUCUUCGGAAAUGAGAGAGCGGCGUACGGGUGCGGAACACGUGUGCAACCUGCCUUUAUCUGGGGGAUAGCCUUUCGAAAGGAAGAUUAAUACUCCAUAAUAUAUUAAUUGGCAUCAAUUGAUAUUGAAAGCUCCGGCGGAUAGAGAUGGGCACGCGCAAGAUUAGCUAGUUGUG
rnacentral:rRNA from 1 species